ensembl:lncRNA
GCGAACGAGAAGGCGCUAGGAGCAAAGGAAAGUGGUUUUUCUAACAAACUCAUAUAAUCAGUUGCCCGACUUACUCCAAUUUGAUUCUUUUCACAUAUUUAGACAUAAUAUAGUACUAUGAAAUGUUUCUGACCCAAAAUAUUACGAAAUAUGAUUGUUUACAUUAAAAUGCAAAAGUUGAUGAAAAAGUAUGAUAAGGUGAAAAAAGUGACAUUUUAUGUCUAGAAAGUCAUUUUUCAUCAAAAGUGCAAUAACAAAACUAAUUCCCAUUCAUCCAGUGUCCCCAUGCACACUUGUGCUCUUUAUCCGCUCAAAACGCUAUAGAGCCAACGAGAAGGCGCUAGGAGCAAAGGAAAGUGGUUUUUCUAACAAACUCAUAUAAUCAGUUGCCCGACUUACUCCAAUUUGAUUCUUUUCACAUAUUUAGACAUAAUAUAGUACUAUGAAAUGUUUCUGACCCAAAAUAUUACGAAAUAUGAUUGUUUACAUUAAAAUGCAAAAGUUGAUGAAAAAGCAUGAUAAGGUGAAAAAAGUGACAUUUUAUGUCUAGAAAGUCAUUUUUCAUCAAAAGUGCAAUAACAAAACUAAUUCCCAUUCAUCCAGUGUCCCCAUGCACACUUGUGCUCUUUAUCCGCUCAAAACGCUAUAGAGCCAACGAGAAGGCGCUAGGAGCAAAGGAAAGUGGUUUUUCUAACAAACUCAUAUAAUCAGUUGCCCGACCUACUCCAAUUUGAUUCUUUUCACAUAUUUAGACAUAAUAUAGUACUAUGACAUGUUUCUGACCCAAAAUAUUACGAAAUAUGAUUGUUUACAUUAAAAUGCAAAAGUUGAUGAAAAAGCAUGAUAAG